GGUUGUUGCGUUUUAAAAUUUGUGGGAAGAGAAACAACAAAGAAAGUAAAUCAGCAAUCAUAGUGGAGACCACGAGAAGAAGCACUAUCAGGGGAGGCUCACCAACCAGAUGGACCGACGAUCUGAAGCGUGUUAUAAGUAACUGGAUACAAGCCGCACAUGGCAGAGAUGAUGGAAAGAGCUGAGGGAGACCUAUGUCCAGCAGUGGAAGUGUACGGGUUAAUGAUGAUGAUGAUGAUGAAAUCAACAAUAUGCAUUUUUUGUCCUGGCUUACAUCUUACCUCAAUAUUUACCUUUAUUCUGUAAUAUAAUCGAGGUGAACAAAUUUGAAAUUUUCUCAUUAAAGCCUUUAGUGGACGAUGAGCAAAAUCAAUUUUAAUAUGACCUCCAUAAACAUGUUUAUGAAAUUUAUUGCAAAUCAUUAAAAUGACUAUAUUUUGGCUA
rnacentral:lncRNA from 1 species